rnacentral:rRNA from 1 species
UACAGAGGUCUCAAGCGUUGUUCGGAUUCAUUGGGCGUAAAGGGUGCGUAGGUGGUGAUGCAAGUCUGGUGUGAAAAUCUCGGAGCUCAACUCCGAAAUUGCACCGGAUACUGCGUGACUCGAGGACUGUAGAGGAGAUCGGAAUUCACGGUGUAGCAGUGAAAAUGCGUAGAUAUCGUGAGGAAGACCAGUUGCGAAGGCGGAUCUCUGGGCAGUUCCUGACACUGAGGCACGAAGGCC